GACGAACGCUGGCGGCGUGCUUAACACAUGCAAGUCGAACGGAAAGGCCCCCUUGUGGGGUACUCGAGUGGCGAACGGGUGAGUAACACGUGAGUAACCUACCCUUGACUUUGGGAUAACUUCAGGAAACUGGGGCUAAUACCGGAUAGGAGCUCCUGCUGCAUGGUGGGGGUUGGAAAGUUUCGGCGGUUGGGGAUGGACUCGCGGCUUAUCAGCUUGUUGGUGGGGUAGAGGCUCACCAAGGCUUUGACGGGUAGCCGGCCUGAGAGGGUGACCGGCCACAGUGGGACUGAGAUACGGCCCAGACUCCUACGGGAGGCAGCAGUGGGGAAUAUUGCACAAUGGGCGGAAGCCUGAUGCAGCAACGCCGCGUGCGGGAUGACGGCCUUCGGGUUGUAAACCGCUUUCGCCUGUGACGAAGCGUGAGUGACGGUAAUGGGUAAAGAAGCACCGGCUAACUACGUG
rnacentral:rRNA from 1 species